AACAUCAUGUCCAGUACUUUGCAAAAUUCUUUCAGAUCCUCUACUGACAGCUUCAGUAGAAACGUCACCACAAGCCUACUCGGUUGCAGUGAGACAGGUUCUCAUUUUGUAUUUCACCUUGGAAACAUAUCUACAAUCCUGGCAAAGAAUCAUUCUUCUCCAUCACACUGCAGGACUUAACUUGCUAAAAAAGGAAAAUUGGAUUUCAGAUGCCAGAUAAGCUUGCUCCCCUCUGGGGGCAGAAGAGACUUGGAAAGAUGAUGUGCAGCCACAUGCCAGUGCCCAGGCGAGGUCUGCUAGCUGAAUUCAUCCCUGUGGAGGUGGAGUUCAGCUGAGCUACAUGGCUAGUCCAAGUGCUUCUUGCUGCACCUUCUACCCAUCUGGAUCCUCUCAUCACCUAGGUUUCUUCGCAAAUGUCAGCUCCUCUGAGAUACCUUCCGUGUUUCUUCUCUCCCACAGCACCUGGAUCUUAUACAUCAUUAUAUACCUAAUGACUUUGUAAUCACAUGUUUCUUUGUGUGUUGCUUUUUUUUUUAACAUCUGCCUUUCCAGUUAGACUGUAAACACAGGAACCAGAACUUUACUUUGGACACCAUGACUGUCAUAGAGCUUCAGAGGCAUUCAUGAAAACACUUGUUGAACAAACUGCCAGAAUAAACACAGAUAUUAACAACUUA